UUUUUAAAUGGCAUGACCAGGACUGAAAGCCUCUUUGCAUCUUCAGUGAUUCUUCAGGAUUGUGUUGAACCUUUCCCGAGAAUAACAUCCUGCACAGCUCUCUCCCUGUUUUCGUCAGGGUGCUUCAAAGACUCCCCAAACUAAACACUGUUACAAUUAUGCUUUACAAUACAUUCCACCAUAUAUCUUCUUUAUAGUUUUACCUGGAAAUUUUGUGAGGGAGUUCCAACAGUAAAACCUAAACUAUGGAAGUGUUGUAACAUGUACUGCCACACGUACGUACAUGCAAUUGUUUCACAGCUCAAGAAGACUGAAGUCUGUCUCUGAGAUUAGUACAUUUUAGCCAAUCAAAUGCUGCAGAAAUAUAACCCUUCUAUUAUUAAUUUCUCUUUUUGUGUACAGCUAUCACUGCACAUUCAACCCAAAGGAUCUCGUGGUGCUUUGCAAAUGACCUAAGUACAGGAAUUCCUUCUACAACGAAAUGCCCAGGCUUAGAGGAUUCCUCAGGACAAAUUUCUUCUGCAAGUCCUUUCAGAGGAGAUCUACCAGUGAAAUGUCCACAAUAACAGAUUGAAAAGGAUGAUUAAAAUGGCAAGGACUAUGUGGAACCAAACAGCACCUACGUGCUGUUUUCUUGUAGAAAACCCUUGCACUGCUCAAGCCUCUCUACGCUAUUCCUCCCUUUUCUCUGUGCCCCCCAAGGUGGAGGGAGGAGAUAGAAGUCUCAAAACUACAGGCCUAUGUAAAUUCUGCAGCAUCAGAA